rnacentral:rRNA from 1 species
UGCGGAAGGAUCAUUAAAGAGUAAGGGUGCUCAGCGCCCGACCUCCAACCCUUUGUUGUUAAAACUACCUUGUUGCUUUGGCGGGACCGCUCGGUUCCGAGCCGCUGGGGAUUCGUCCCAGGCGAGUGCCCGCCAGAGUUAAACCAAACUCUUGUUAUUAAACCGGUCGUCUGAGUUAAAAUUUUGAAUAAAUCAAAACUUUCAACAACGGAUCUCUUGGUUCUCGCAUCGAUGAAGAACGCAGCGAAAUGCGAUAAGUAAUGUGAAUUGCAGAAUUCAGUGAAUCAUCGAAUCUUUGAACGCACAUUGCGCCCCUUGGUAUUCCGAGGGGCAUGCCUGUUCGAGCGUCAUUACACCACUCAAGCUAUGCUUGGUAUUGGGUGCCGUCCUUAGUUGGGCGCGCCUUAAAGACCUCGGCGAGGCCACUCCGGCUUUAGGCGUAGUAGAAUUUAUUCGAACGUCUGUCAAAGGAGAGGAACUCUGCCGAUUGAAACCUUUAUUUUUCUAGGUUGACCUCGGAUCAGGUAGGGAUACCCGCUGAACUUAAGCAUA